UUGUCGGUUUAAUACCGACCUGCAUGAAUGGCGUAACGAGAUGGGAGCUGUCUCAACCAGAGAUUCAGUGAAAUUGUAGUGGAGGUGAAAAUUCCUCCUACCCGCGGCAAGACGGAGGAACCCCGUGGACCUUUACUACAACUUAGCACUGCUAAUGGGAAUAUCAUGCGCAGGAUAGGUGGGAGGCUUUGAAGUAAGGGCUUUGGCUCUUAUGGAGCCAUCCUUGAGAUACCACCCUUG
rnacentral:rRNA from 1 species